CCUACGGGUGGCAGCAGUGAGGAAUAUUGGUCAAUGGUCGGGAGACUGAACCAGCCAAGCCGCGUGAGGGAUGAAGGUACAGAGUAUCGUAAACCUCUUUUGUCAGGGAACAAAGGCGGGGACGUGUCCCCGGAUGAGUGUACCUGAAGAAAAAGCAUCGGCUAACGCCGUGCCAGCAGCCGCGGUAAUACGGGGGAUGCGAGCGUUAUCCGGAUUUAUUGGGUUUAAAGGGUGCGUAGGCGGGCUGUUAAGUCAGCGGGCAAAUGUAGGGGCUCAACCCCGGCCUGCCGUUGAAAAUGGCGGCCUCGAGUGGGCGAGAAGUAUGCGGAAUGCGUGGUGUAGCGGUGAAAUGCAUAGAUAUCACGCAGAACCCCGAUUGCGAAGGCAGCAUACCGGCGCCCGACUGACGCUGAGGCACGAAAGCGUGGGUAUCGAACAGGAUUAGAUACCCGAGUAGUC
rnacentral:rRNA from 1 species